rnacentral:rRNA from 1 species
GGAGUUAGCCGGUGCUUCUUCUGCGAGUAACGUCACAGAUGUAAGGUAUUAACUUACACCCUUUCCUCCUCGCUGAAAGUGCUUUACAACCCGAAGGCCUUCUUCACACACGCGGCAUGGCUGCAUCAGGGUUUCCCCCAUUGUGCAAUAUUCCCCACUGCUGCCUCCCGUAGGAGUCUGGGCCGUGUCUCAGUCCCAGUGUGGCUGAUCAUCCUCUCAGACCAGCUAGGGAUCGUCGCCUAGGUGAGCCUUUACCUCACCUACUAGCUAAUCCCACCUGGGCUUAUCCAUCAGCGCAAGGCCCGAAGGUCCCCUGCUUUCCCCCGUAGGGCGUAUGCGGUAUUAGCAGUCGUUUCCAACUGUUAUCCCCCACAAAUGGGCAAAUUCCCAGGCAUUACUCACCCGUCCGCCGCUCGUCAUCUUCAAAAGCAAGCUUUUGAAAUGUUACCGCUCGACUUGCAAUGUGUUAGGCCUGCCGCCAGCGUCAUCUGAGCGAGAUACAACUACUCGA